UGUAAAAUAAGCUCUUUCUAAUGACUAUAAACGCGAACAUGUUGAAAUUACAUGUAACUUCUGAAGCUCAAUGUGAAGGUGAGCGUGGCACCUACCAGGGGUUGACAAAAUUUAUUUCUUAUUUCGACUGCAUUCAGUGAAAGUACUUUGAAACAUGCAUGUCAGAAGGUCAAGUAAGCUACAUUCUCGUCUAGACUUACUUGUACGUGAAUACCCCUUAUGCUUCAAGUUGUAUUUCACCCAACUUCGACAUUGUUUAUAGCCGGUAUAUACUCAACAUCUGAAAAGUGCUGUGCAGCAUGGACAAGCAUCAAGAUCUCAUUCACAUUACAGUGGCAAAAAAGUCAUCUAAAAGUAACAGUUCAAUGACUGGUAGAACAAAUCCAAGUUGACUGACAGACAGCAAUGUAUCAAUUGGUAUGAAUUUCAAGGAAGACAUUAACAACUUCAAAAAUGACCCAUUGAUAAACAUGUCAAUGCCAGUCCUUAUUAAUUGAUGUGUUUGAAAAAAAAACAAUAA